CGUUCACAGUAUGAAAUAGAAAACACCUUUCCGGGUAAUUUAGCAGUUAGUUGUUAAAGUGGUUACAUAAUUAUUUUUUACUUGUGUAUAUAAAGACGUUCUCCACCGAAUACCAGUUACGUUACUGUUACCCUACAGAUCAUAAUGUGGUCAAUAUUGAUAAUGUUCAGUUGUGUUAUUGGUUGUGUGCAGAGUCAAGCAGUACCUACCUGCCCAUUCGGAAUACCAUUACCUAACAUCAAUUGUGGUCGGGGAUCAAUUCAAGACUGCCCACCUACGUUUUACUGUAACAUUCACGAGACGGAUGAGUUUGCUGUGUGUUGCAUUAAGCUACCUGGAACAUCUGGAUAGUCCGCUAACUUGGUAUGACAAAGAUGCAACAUGUUGUUUGUACAAAGAAAUGAUGUCAUCAUAGAUGUAUGGGUCCUACUUGCUGACCAUUAUUUUGACAGACAUACAUAUAUAAACUUUUUAAUAAACUGGACUUUUCUUAAAUUAACAUUUAAGACGUGUUUCUUCUUGUCAUAGCCGAACCGUGUCAUGCAAUUGAAUCGAUUCUCAAAUGCGACAUACUAUGCAUUAAAUGCCAUGA